rnacentral:SRP_RNA from 1 species
GGCCCAGACCCUUGCGACGAAGAAUUGUGAAUCCCGCCAGGUUCGGAAGAAAGCAACGGUAAGCAAACCUCUUCGGGCGCCACGGCAAUCUGGGUCUCC